rnacentral:rRNA from 1 species
UACGUAGUUAGCCGUGGCUUCCUCCUCAGGUACCGUCAUUAUCGUCCCUGAAGACAGAGCUUUACAACCCGAAGGCCUUCAUCACUCACGCGGCGUUGCUGCAUCAGGGUUUCCCCCAUUGUGCAAUAUUCCCCACUGCUGCCUCCCGUAGGAGUCUGGGCCGUGUCUCAGUCCCAAUGUGGCCGAUCACCCUCUCAGGUCGGCUACGCAUCGUCGCCUUGGUGAGCCGUUACCUCACCAACUAGCUAAUGCGCCGCGGGCCCAUCUGAUAGCGGAUUACUCCUUUGGUCAUUUGAAGAUGCCUUCAUUUGACUUUAUGCGGUAUUAAUCUCCCUUUCGGGAGGCUAUCCCCCUCUAUCAGGCAGGUUGCCCACGUGUUACUCACCCGUCCGCCGCUAGGAAAUCCCCGAAAGAAUUUCCUCGCUCGACUUGCAUGUGUUAAGCACGCCGCCAGCGUCGUCUCGAGCCACGGAGUCAACUAC